rnacentral:tRNA from 15 species
GUGCACGGACUUCAAAACCGGUGUCAGCUUUCAA